CCUACGGGAGGCAGCAGUGGGGAAUCUUGCGCAAUGGGCGAAAGCCUGACGCAGCCAUGCCGCGUGAAUGAUGAAGGUCUUAGGAUUGUAAAAUUCUUUCACCGGGGACGAUAAUGACGGUACCCGGAGAAGAAGCCCCGGCUAACUUCGUGCCAGCAGCCGCGGUAAUACGAAGGGGGCUAGCGUUGCUCGGAAUUACUGGGCGUAAAGGGAGCGUAGGCGGACAUUUAAGUCAGGGGUGAAAUCCCAGAGCUCAACUCUGGAACUGCCUUUGAUACUGGGUGUCUUGAGUGUGAUAGAGGUAUGUGGAACUCCGAGUGUAGAGGUGAAAUUCGUAGAUAUUCGGAAGAACACCAGUGGCGAAGGCGACAUACUGGAUCAUUACUGACGCUGAGGCUCGAAAGCGUGGGGAGCAAACAGGAUUAGAUACCCUGGUAGUCCACGCCGUAAACGAUGAUUGCUAGUUGUUGGGAUGUUUACAUCUCGGUGACGCAGCUAACGCAUUAAGCAAUCCGCCUGGGGGAGGUACGGUCGCGAGAAUAAACUUAAAGUAAAGUAGACGCGUGAGAGUGCGACGGACGACGACGAGGGAGGAGG
rnacentral:rRNA from 1 species